rnacentral:rRNA from 1 species
GCAAGUCGAACGGUAAGGUCUCUUCGGAGAUACACGAGUGGCGCACGGGUGAGUAACGCGUAUGCAACCUACCGUAAACUGGAGCAUAGCCCAGAGAAAUCUGGAUUAAUUCUCCAUAACAUCUAAAUUUCGCAUGAUUUUUAGAUUAAAGAAUUUCGGUUUACGAUGGGCAUGCGUGACAUUAGUUUGUUGGUGAGGUAACGGCUCACCAAGACUACGAUGUCUAGGGGGUCUGAGAGGAUGGUC